UGACAUACAAGGGGUGUAGGUUACCUCAUUUAUCACAUUUACUGACAUACAAGGGGUGUAGGUUACCUCAUUUAUCACAUUUACUGACAUACAAGGGGUGUAGGUUACCUCAUUUAUCACAUUUACUGACAUACAAGGGGUGUAGGUUACCUCAUUUAUCACAUUUACUGACAUAUAAAGGGUGUAGGUCAUCUAAUUUAUCACUUAAAAAAGAUAAAGAAUAAACUUAGGUGGGACUUUUCAUGAUUGGCAGUCAACAAAAGACACAGUACCGUGUCAUAGCUCAUCCACCCUCUGUUUGUAAACAAAGCCCGCGCAUGCGCAGAUCAGGAUGGGAUGUCUUAUUAUAGCGGCUGUCUCGUGACACCACACCGGUACCAAUACUAGCCAGUCGCUCAUGGUGUCCCUCAUUUCUUCCUCACACGAGUGAGGCUGAGACUGAGUGCCUGAGUGGAUAUCUCGGUGAUAUGGAUAUUCUCUCUCUCUCUCUCUCUCUCUCUCUCUCUCUCUCUCUCUCUCUCUCUCUCUCUCUC